UGCCAGCCGCCGCGGUAAUACGGAGGGAGCUAGCGUUGUUCGGAUUCAUUGGGCGUAAAGAGAGCGUAGGCGGGUUAGCAAGUCGGAUGUGAAAGCCCUCGGCUCAACCGAGGAAGUGCAUUCGAAACUGCUAGUCUUGAGUCUUGGAGAGGGAAGCGGAAUUCCCGGUGUAGAGGUGAAAUUCGUAGAUAUUGGGAAGAACACCAGUGGCGAAGGCGGCUCACUGGCUCGAUACUGACGCUGAGGUACGAAAGUGUGGGGAGCAAACAGGAUUAGAUA
rnacentral:rRNA from 1 species